rnacentral:tRNA from 1 species
UAUUAAGUGGCUGAAUUAUAAAAGCACUAGACUUUUAAUCUAGAUAAUGAUUUUUCAUAAAUCCUUAAUAA